rnacentral:rRNA from 1 species
GACGAACGCUGGCGGCGUGCCUAACACAUGCAAGUCGAGCGGGGGGAGUUCUUUGGAACAAACCUAGCGGCGGACGGGUGAGUAACACGUGGGUAACCUGCCUCAACGUGGGGGAUAGCCUUCCGAAAGGAAGCUUAAUACCGCAUAACCCAUGAUUUUCGCAUGGAAGGCAUGGUAAAGCUUUAUCGAUUUGAGAUGGACCCGGGGCGCAUUAGCUAGUUGGUGAGGUAACGGCGCACCAAGGGCACGAUGCGUAGCCGACCUGAGAGGGUGAUCGGCCACAUUGGAAAUGAGAAACGGUCCAGACUCCUAGGGGAGGCAGCAGUGGGGAAUAUUGCACAAUGGGCGAAAGCCUGAUGCAGCAACGACGCGUUAGUGAUGAAGGCCUUCGGGUUGUAAAGCUCUGUCUUUUGGGACGAUAAUGACGGUACCAAAGGAGGAAGCAACGGCUAACUACGUGCCAGCAGCCGCCGUAAAAC